UACAGAGGUCCCAAGCGUUGUUCGGAUUUACUGGGCGUAAAGGGAGCGUAGGUGGCAUUCUAAGUCUGAUGUGAAAGCUCUGAGCUUAACUCAGAAAUGGCAUUAGAUACUAGUAUGCUUGAGGAUUGGAGGGGAGAUUGGAAUUCUUGGUGUAGCAGUGAAAUGCGUAGAUAUCAAGAGGAACACCAGUGGCGAAGGCGAAUCUCUGGACAAUUCCUGACACUGAUGCUCGAAAGCUAGGGGAGCAAACGGG
rnacentral:rRNA from 1 species